rnacentral:rRNA from 1 species
UACAGAGGGUGCAAGCGUUAAUCGGAAUUACUGGGCGUAAAGCGUGCGUAGUCGGUUAUCUAAGUCGGGUGUGAAAUCCCCGGGCUCAACCUGGGAAUUGCAUUCGAUACUGGAUAGCUAGAGUUCGGCAGAGGGAAGCGGAAUUUCCGGUGUAGCGGUGAAAUGCGUAGAUAUCGGAAGGAACAUCAGUGGCGAAAGCGGCUUCCUGGACCAGAACUGACGAUCAGGCACGAAAGCGUGGGGAGCAAGCAGG